GAGAAACUGCAGUGGAAACUGUGGGGUGGGUCAGCGAGGAAGGAAGGGGAGGAUGAUGGAGCUGGAGCAGAGGAGAAGUGUUGGGGGGGAAAUGAGCUGCAGGGAGAAAACACCAUGUCCUGAUCAUCCCAAAGCCCUGAGCUGCUCAACACUGUGUAGAGGGGUUGGGUAUGAAGAAGUGAAGCCAAGUUUUGGAGGGGAAAAGUAAAGUCAUUGUUUUAAUGUUUGUCUUUCUUUCCUGCUACCCUAGUCCAUUUUAACUGACAACAAAUUAAUUUUCCUCAAGGUGACUAUGUUUGGCCCACAGCAUUACUUGACAAGCAAACUCCCUGAUUUUACCUCAACCCACAACCUUGUCAACCUCUUUUCUCUUCCUGUCCCACUGAGGAGGGGAAGGGAGGGAGGGAGGGAGGGAGGAAGGGAGGGAGGGAGGGAGAAAAGGAGAGAGCAGCUGGGUGGGAGUUUGGCCCUUAGAAAAUGUUAACCCACCACAGUGCACAAGACCAGAUUUUUUACAGAGGACUCAGGACUUGUAACUACAUUGAAUUCCUCCAAAAUCCCACCAGUGGCUCUGAUUCUGUAACUAUCUGUAUGCAGGAAAGACAUAGGUCCACGCAGAGCCCUGUUGAUUUCAAUGUACCUGCCUAAGCAAAAGGAAUGACAAAUGAUGACUACUGUUCUGAGUCUGACACAAGGAAACAGAACAAGAUCUGUCCAAGGAAAGGAAAUUGCCAUAAGCUUUCUAAUAUAUACUGUUUUCCACAAACACUCCUGCCACCGUCAAUCUCCAGUGUUCUCUCCCUGCUCCCUCAAAGAUGUACUGCCUCAGACUCCUAUUGCCACAGCUCCCUGAAGAACCAUCCAUAGGGUCCUCCUAUGUGAAAACUAAAUAAAGGCUAGGAAAGAACAUGAAUAUUCUGAGUC
rnacentral:lncRNA from 1 species